AGCCUUGAGAAGCUAAUAAGCAUUGGUCUUGUAAACCAAAGACAGGAACUUUCCCCAAGGCUC
rnacentral:tRNA from 1 species